rnacentral:tRNA from 1 species
GCACCCAUGGCGCAACCGGAUAGCGCAUCAGAUUCCGAUUCUGACGGUUGGCGGUUCGAAUCCGCCUGGGUGUACCA